CACACACACACACACACACACACACACACACAGAACAUGUGUGUCACAUACACUAACUCCAGGAACCAGGGAGGUUUGUGUAUUGGGGCUUUGGCAGUGCUAUUCCUGUAACGGAUUCAGUUAAUACUUACAAAGAAUCAAAAUCAUUUCAGAAAAAACAAACAAGUGAGCAGACGUUCAUCUUCCCUGUCUCGUCCUUUCCCUAUAAGAAGUAAGACAAAUCAUCAUUUUAUUAACUGCUGAGUAAAACUCAACAAAGUCAAUUCAGCCAGUGAACAGCAUGGUUGUUUCGAAGGUAAAAUUUCACUGUGGGCUUCUGAGGGUGGUAAUAAAAGCCUGUGUGGCCUCAUUGCCUGUGGAAAGUUUUAUGUUCUAUAAAAGACAGCUAGCCUUUUCUCCUCACUAGUCACUAGUUAGUUCGGACAUUUACAGAGCAAAGGAAGGACUCCAGAAUGUCUCCAGAUGAAAACGAAGAAAGCACGGAACUGUGUAUGAGGAAUUCAGUUUAUGGAUCAGUCCCUGCUGGGGGAUGCUGGGAUCUCAGUGGUUCGCUGAUUAGGGUCAACUAUGGCUAGAAAAUCAUGGCACAUAGAAGUGCACGUAGUCAGACACCCUUCAGAGAGUUGAAAGGCCUCAGAAGAAAACCCAACCCUGCCUUGCUGCUGUGAGUAAUCUUCCCUUUGUUCUCCGAAGUAAAAUCUUAUUAUAAUGUUCACUUUUGUCAGGGUCUAGGCUCUUGCCUAUGCAUUAUUUUCCUCAUGCAACAAAGCAAUAAACCCAAGUAGGUAUUCGCAUGCUCAGGCUCCGAUAAACAAGCCGGAGCAGCUCAGGCCUCCUUUGAUGACUAAAAUGGCAGUGGUUACAACCCCGGGGCAACCUGCCCGGUUUGCUGCUCUCUUUAAGGACCAAUCUGUCUGCCCUGCUUUUUUUUUUUUUUCUUUUCUGCUUAUUCUGCAGCUGAACUCAUGAUCUAUCAGGCAGGACGAAGGACCAGAUGGGAUUUUCUAGUACUGGGAUACUUUCAGGGCUUCAGGGUCCAAGGGUCUUAAGGAGAUAAGGUUAGCGUCUGAAGCAAGGGUUUCCUAAACCAAGUUGUCACUUGAAGAUUCAUGGUCACCGCAUCUACAGUAGUCUCUGGUUAAACCCAAAAGAAGGAUUACUGAGUGCCAACCCAGCCAGGUGGCAACUGUGACAGCUAAUUUUCCGUGGGUGGAGUGAGAUAAAGUCUCAUCAAGAACACCAACCAGCUUAGGAUUUUCCCUAAAACUCUCUUCCCAGUUCACUGCCCUCGCCCUUCCCUUUCCUUUCGUUUCAUUGCUUAAGAGACUGCUUAGUAAGUGGCCAAAUAGUUAAGAGGGGGUUGGCUUGGAAGCAGAUAACAGGAGAUCUUAACUAUCAGUAAUAGCCAGUCUCACCGCCUCACACCAUAAUCAGGCAAUGACACAGAGAUGUUUAAAAACAACGUGGCUUGGGAGAGGAAACAUUUGAUUAAGACACUCCCCAUCUGUAGCUGUAAGGCUCACACAGCCACUGUGUGCCCAGGUUUCUUGCACUUCCUUCUGAAAUGAGAAGGAACUGGACCAACUGCAGUUUUCUAAUCUCCUUCCAUCUUACUGUUCUCAAACAUGACUUAUUUAUAUUGUAAGUUUGAAAGACACACAAAAUGAAUAUUCAAUUUAGGUGUUUCCUUGUCCAUGAUGAGAAAACUCCAACUCAAGCUUCCAUUCAUUCCAUACUUUACAAGCUUGGAGAGUGGCCACAGUAACCCAGUUUCCAGCAUUCAGACAUCAGUAAAUAUCCUUUGGUUAAAAUCCCUAUUCCCCAAACUCACUGUUCUCACGGAAGUGGUGAUUUUGCUCAGGGAAAUGUUCUGCAACAUCACCGUGAGGGACCAGACACCUGGAGUCUGAAUUUUGAGAUCUUGCAUCAUACCUGCUGUAGCAACAGAGCCCACUCCAAAUUCUCAGCCCACAUCAUUUUCCCCAAACAGUCCUAAUUGCCAACCCUGUGUGGGAAUUUGGGAGCCUCUGGCAAACAAGCUUGAACACUCCUGACAUUUGGUGCAAGAUUUACACAACAGCAACUGUCUCCACACACCUUUCCCGCCAAGUACAUGCAGACGUAUACAUCCAUUCUGCGCCUUCCCCCACCCCCGCCCCCACCCCCGCCCCCUGGAGAGAGGAUUUGAUUGAUUUCAUUAGAAAGUUCUCCUCUUGAUUUACAUGCAUAACAGACAGCACAUCAUUGGGAGAGAUGCUGUCACUUAUAAGAACGGAGUUUUCCCAUUUGCCCCAUGUCCGUCCAUGUUCACAGAGUGUCUAAGUCAUUACAGCAGAGAGGGUGGCUGCACCUAACCUUCCCUGGUUCUGUAUAAAAGGUCAUAGCUUGCAUUUUUUGCUCUCUGACCAAAUUUCAACCAGAGUUAAAUGGAUGUAUUUAGUGUGGUGAACAUCUUCAUUGCCAGAAAAGAUUUCAGCUCUUCAAAUUUGAGGGAGUAUAGCCAGUUGGGAAAGGGCUAAUUAUUGUUAGUGGUGAUGGUGGUUGGGUUUUUUUCUCCUCUCAAGGUGACAGAAGAUCUAUGGUGAGAGCAGAAAGAUGUUUCUUAAUUGACCUACUUAAGGUCACUGCAGAAAAGGGGGAGAAGUCCAGAAGGUCCUGGGAGAUUGGGUUCACACUAACACUCUGAAUCAUUUCUGAUCAGUUUUUUUUUUUUUUUCUAUGCUGAAUCUUGUCUUAUCCUAUGAUCCAGUUACCAGUUUUGGUAUUUUUAAGUCUUUCUCAUUGUAUUUUGGGGAAUUUUUAGGCUGAGAAUAAAAUCUACUAUUGGAACAGACCUGUGCUCUGCAGAGGCAUCACGUGACCCAGACAACGGGUGGCAGAAUAUCUGGGUUCCCCUGGAGACACCCCCAACCCCUGGGUGAGCUUUAGAACCUAACAACAGACUGUUAUCCUUAUCACCAUCCUCUGGGACAUGGGGGAUGAUGCAGUCAGAGCCUUGCUACUUCUGGGCUUUGUUUCUCUCUAUGGCAACCAUUUUAUCCUGCCUGGAAAUGGCUUCCUGCCCUACGUGGAGAGCAGGCACACUUACAGCCAAGGAAGUGGUCAAACAGAUCCCUAAGUUCUCUCCAUGCUACAACAAAUUCCCUAAUACACACAACCAGAAACUCAGCUCCUGGGUGGCUUAGUACCCACAAGGUCACUUUCCUGUUCUAAGAGCCUUCGGUAUCCAGAUUCUUCUACAAACCACCUCAACUCUUUCCUCUUUCUUCCCUCCUCCAUAAAAUCUCAGCAUCCCACCCCCACAUUGCACAACAGUGAUCAGAUCAGCUGGUCACUAUAGAGAUUUGUAUAUAUUAAAACAAACCUACUUUUUGGAGAAUUUUUUGUAUAUUCUUUUCUAUUUGUUUUCUACAAAUUGAGGACAGAGCUGGCAAACUGUGAAUCUAAUUUUAUCUUGAUGCCAGCAGAUAUAUUUUAGCUUCCUGGUAUGAAUCUAUGUUACUAGGGACACCAUAUCACCCUCUGAUCAGUAUUGCACCUCCAAUCUACAAAGUUAGUUUGGCCCAAUCUUACAUUCUCUCUUCCACAAAUCCCCAAAUUUCUUUGCUAUUAUUUAUACAGAGAAUAUUUAUAGUCCUGGAUAUUACAAGUUUUAAUGUUAAUUUAACUUUUAAUAACAUUACACAUUUGUAUCUACUCUUCAAAAAUCAUAAAGACUCAGAGUAGGCUGAUAUAGUCUCUUUGGUAUCUGUAAUUUUUUCAGACAGAUAUUUUCUUAUGAUAUUUUCUAUAAAACCACAUAGAUAGAAGUAUAGCUAAUUAGAGCACACAUUUCUAUAGCAAUUUGGGGUAUCAACUGUUUCCUGAGCAUACAGACACAUUUGAGAAAUUUUGGAACUCAGUCCUUAAUGAUGCAAUGAAUAACUUGACCAAACUCAGAACGAAGAAUUGCUUAAGCCCCUUAGGUAGUUAGCAUAUACAACUGAACAGUUAAUCCUUCAGCAUCAAGGAAUGGUGCUGACUGCUGUUUCCCGACACCAGUUCUUGUUUGCCCAAUGGACCUUUCUAAUUUUAUUUUUCUAUAAGAAGAAUAAAGGCCGGUGCUAAUAGCGGGACCGCUUCUCUAUCAGAAUCUCCCAUGCAUUUCUAGAUGUUUAUGUGAAAAUUGGCCCUAAUGAAACAGAGUAGCAAAGACUGAGGAUGGUUAGGAAGAAAAGAAUUCAGGACAGGUUUGGUGCAGUUUUAAGUCUUGCCAAGCAAAAUGAUAGCAAAACCUCACAUUGUUAUAUGAAUUGAACAUAUAUUUUU
rnacentral:lncRNA from 1 species